GUAGGUGGCAAGCGUUGUCCGGAUUUACUGGGCGUAAAGGGCGCGCAGGCGGCUCGUCAAGUCUGGGGGUGAAAUCUCCCGGCUCAACCGGGAGAGGUCUCUGGAUACUGACGGGCUUGAGGGAAGCAGAGGAGAGCGGAAUUCCCGGUGUAGCGGUGAUAUGCGUAGAUAUCGGGAGGAACACCAGUGGCGAAGGCGGCUCUCUGGGCUUUUCCUGACGCUGAGGCGCGAAAGCGUGGGGAGCGAACCGGAUUAGAUACCCGGGUAGUCCACGCCGUAAACGUUGUGCACUAGGUGUGGGGGGUAUUGACCCCCUCCGUGCCGCAGUUAACGCGAUAAGUGCACCGCCUGGGGAGUACGGCCGCAAGGCUA
rnacentral:rRNA from 1 species